rnacentral:lncRNA from 1 species
UGCAUCAGUGGCAGAGCGCAAGCCAGCACUACCCGCAACACCACCACCAACACACCACCUCCUCUCUCACCAUCACAACCAAACUCACCACCACCACCUGCAGUAGCAGCUCCACCGAACCAGCGCUUGUCGCACCAACCCAGCCAAACCAAUAGCCCUUGAAGCGCUGAAGCGCCAAAACUCAACGAUGAACUUCAAAAUCCUGCUGAUCGUGAUGCUUGUGGUGCUCGGGACAGUGACAGUGAUGGGGAAACCGUUUCCCGUCAAAGACAAUUUCCCGGCCAGAGACUGAGAGGCGCCACCAACUACGGCACCCACUCCUUUGGACGCAACGGUUUCGACAGCAGACCUGUCUCCAGAUUUCAUAAACGCGAGCGGGACCCAGAUUUCUAAAAGAAGCCACCCUCCACCCAUCUCUCCCAAACAAUCGUCGGUUUGCCUGAGUGUUCCUCCUGCUCCUUACUUUGCGGAAUUGAUCCAGCCAUGUGUACUGUGCCCAGGCAUCGGAAGGUGUAGCUGGAAAUAUGUACAGCACUCUUAAGUCAACCAUAUAUGUUGCGAGUGGUGUAUUUGGCCUCGCUGUCCUGCUACACAUAGCUAUGUCUAGGACUCCUACACUGUGUUUCCAUAUAUCUAUUUUUCCCCGAGUCACUGGCUGUCAUUGUGUACUGACUAGAAGCAUUGUAUAUUCUUCUUUUCUUCCUGAGUGUUGUGACAUACGGGAGUGUCGGUUGUCUUCAUGGAAAGAUGCAUUUCGUCUGUGUUAUCGUGUUUUUAUGGACAGGAAAGCCCUGUAAUGUGCACGCAUACAUCCCAAGUAUUUAUACUUCCAUUAAAUGAGAUGCCCCACUACUGUAUGUUAGAAUGUGUACAAAAUAUUGUAGCUUUUUCUAUUCAUUACUCCUAUCAAAGUGUUGUAAUAUAGCAUAAUUUAUAUUAUAUUUUUGUACUGAAUUAAACAUUAUGAAGAUA